GUCCCCUUAGCUCAGCUGGAUAGAGCAUGAGCCUUCUAAGCCCAGGGUCGGGAGUUCGAAUCUCUCAGGGGACGCCA
rnacentral:tRNA from 1 species